rnacentral:rRNA from 1 species
AGAGUUUGAUCAUGGCUCAGAUUGAACGCUGGCGGCAGGCCUAACACAUGCAAGUCGAGCGGCAGCGGGUCCUUUCGGGAUGCCGGCGAGCGGCGGACGGGUGAGUAAUGCCUAGGAAUCUGCCUGGUAGUGGGGGAUAACGUUCGGAAACGGACGCUAACACCGCAUACGUCCUACGGGAGAAAGUGGGGGAUCUUCGGACCUCACGCUAUCAGAUGAGCCUAGGUCGGAUUAGCUAGUUGGUGGGGUAAUGGCUCACCAAGGCGACGAUCCGUAACUGGUCUGAGAGGAUGAUCAGUCACACUGGAACUGAGACACGGUCCAGACUCCUACGGGAGGCAGCAGUGGGGAAUAUUGGACAAUGGGCGAAAGCCUGAUCCAGCCAUGCCGCGUGUGUGAAGAAGGUCUUCGGAUUGUAAAGCACUUUAAGUUGGGAGGAAGAGCAGCUAGUUAAUACCUGGUUGUUUUGACGUUACCAACAGAAUAAGCACCGGCUAACUUCGUGCCAGCAGCCGCGGUAAUACGAAGGGUGCAAGCGUUAAUCGGAAUUACUGGGCGUAAAGCGCGCGUAGGUGGUUCAGCAAGUUGGAGGUGAAAUCCCCGGGCUCAACCUGGGAACUGCCUCCAAAACUACUGAGCUAGAGUACGGUAGAGGGUAGUGGAAUUUCCUGUGUAGCGGUGAAAUGCGUAGAUAUAGGAAGGAACACCAGCGGCGAAGGCGACUACCUGGACUGAUACUGACACUGAGGUGCGAAAGCGUGGGGAGCAAACAGGAUUAGAUACCCUGGUAGUCCACGCCGUAAACGAUGUCGACUAGCCGUUGGGAUCCUUGAGAUCUUAGUGGCGAAGCUAACGCGAUAAGUCGACCGCCUGGGGAGUACGGCCGCAAGGUUAAAACUCAAAUGAAUUGACGG